rnacentral:rRNA from 1 species
UUCUUUGCUGGCGACCGGCGGCACGGGUGAGUAACACGCAUCCAACCUGCCCUUUACUCGGGGAUAGCCUUUCGAAAGAAAGAUUAAUACCCGAUAGUAUAAUGAUUCCGCAUGGUUUCAUUAUUAAAGGAUUCCGGUAAAGGAUGGGGAUGCGUUCCAUUAGGUUGUUGGUGAGGUAACGGCUCACCAAGCCUUCGAUGGAUAGGGGUUCUGAGAGGAAGGUCCCCCCACAUUGGAACUGAGACACGGUCCAAACUCCUACGGGAGGCAGCAUG